AUGCACGGCACGCUCUACGUCUUUCUCCUCGGAUGAGCAUGAGAAUGAGCGUGACAGCGUCCGAAAAAGGUGUGGCUUUCCCCGUCAGCGCGCGCGAGCACGGACACGGCCACAAACACACACCAGAAGCAAAAGGCGGGAGGCUUGGAAGCGUUCCAACCCCCACACGAGGAGGCCGCCACGUACCUCGCCCUCCCCCUUCCUCUCUCUCACUCCACUGCUUCUCCCUCGUCCUCUCCCUCCCAACCCCCGGUCAAAUCCAUCCGCCCUUGCCACUCAACCCACGCUCGCCUUUUCCGCUCAGACGCCACCCUCCUCUCUUCCCGAGAUCAUCGAUUCGUCCAUCGACCCUCCUCCGCGCGCGGCUCGAUCGUGUUCGAUCGUCGUGUGCAGCAGUUGGCCGGGGAAGGGGAUCGGAUCACCGAGCGAGGUGAUCGAGAUGGGAGGGAGAUCGUCGCCGGCGGGGUGGGGGCGACGUGCGCCGCCGCCGCCGCUUCUUCUUCUUCUCGUGUCGGUGCUGGCGCUCGCGACGGUGGUGGAGGGGAGGUUCGUGGUGGAGAAGAACAGCCUGCGGGUGACGUCACCGGCGGGGCUGCGGGGCGUGUACGAGUGCGCCAUCGGCAACUUCGGGAUGCCGCAGUACGGGGGCACCAUGCACGGCGUCGUCGUCUACCCCAAGGCCAACACCAAGGCCUGCAAGCCCUUCGCCGACUUCGGCCUCUCCUUCAACCCCAAGGCCGGCGGCCUCCCCGUCUUCCUCCUCGUCGACCGCGGAGACUGCUACUUCACAACCAAGGGGUGGAACGCGCAGACGGCGGGAGCGGCGGCGGUGCUCGUCGCCGACGACAGGGCAGAGCCCCUCAUCACAAUGGACACCCCAGAGUCCAGCGGCAAGGAGCACCUGGAGAACAUCACCGUGCCCUCAGCCCUGGUCUCCAAGCGCUUCGGCGACGACCUGAAGACCGCCCUCGAGAACGGCGACAUGGUGAACGUGCUCCUGGACUGGCGGGAAUCCCUCCCGCACCCGGACGAGCGCGUGGAGUACGAGUUCUGGACCAACAGCAACGACGAGUGCGGCGCGAAAUGCGACAUGCAGAUGAGCUUCGUCCGGGACUUCCGGGGCGUGGCGCAGGUGCUGGAGCAGCGCGGCUACACCCAGUUCGCGCCGCACUACAUCACCUGGUACUGCCCGGAGGCCUUCGUCCUGAGCGCGCAGUGCAGGUCGCAGUGCAUCAACCACGGCCGCUACUGCGCCCCCGACCCGGAGCAGGACUUCACCACCGGGUAUGAUGGGAAGGACGUCGUGGUGCAGAACUUGAUCCAGAUCUGCCUCUUCAAGGUCGCCAACGAGAGCCGCAAGCCGUGGCUGUGGUGGGACUAUGUGCACGACUUCGCCAUCCGGUGCCCCAUGAAGGAGAAGAAGUACACCACCGAUUGCGCUCAUGGUGUCAUCAAGUCCCUUGGAAUGGACAUUGACAAGAUUACCCAGUGCGUCGGAGACCCCGACGCCGAUGAGGACAACCCGGUGCUCAAGGCGGAGCAAGAUGCUCAAAUUGGUCAUGGUGCUCGAGGGGAUGUUACCAUACUGCCGACUUUCGUCGUCAACAACAGACAGUACAGAGGGAAACUGGAUAAAAGGGCUGUGCUCCGAGCGAUAUGUUCGGGAUUCGAGGAGACGACCGAACCCGAUAUCUGUUUGACUCAAGAUAUACAAACAAACCAGUGCUUGGAAAACAAUGGAGGUUGCUGGCUGGACAAAAAUACUAAUUUCACUGCAUGCAAGGAUACCUUCCGUGGGCGGGUUUGCGAGUGCCCGGUUGUCAAUGGCGUCAAGUUCGUUGGCGACGGGUACACCCACUGUGAAGCUUCUGGUGUUGGUCGAUGCCAAAUCAACAACGGAGGCUGCUGGAAGGAGACCAGGAACGGCAAGUCUGUCUCCGCGUGCUCGAAUGAGCAAGCUAAGGGCUGCAAAUGUCCGCAAGGCUUCAAGGGUGAUGGCAUACACGGUUGCGAAGAUGUUGAUGAGUGCAAAGAGAGGCUCUUCUGCCAGUGCAAGGACUGCAGCUGCGAGAACACAUGGGGAAGCUACGAGUGUGGCUGCGGUGGUAGCAACAUGCUGUACAUGAGAGAGCAUGACACUUGCAUCAGCAAGGUCGCGACUUCGUCGGUGGGCUGGGGGUUCAUGUGGGUCAUCUUCUUCGGCCUCGGCUUCGCCGGAGUGGGAGCAUACGCCGUCUACAAAUAUCGGCUACGGAGCUACAUGGAUUCAGAGAUCCGCGCGAUCAUGGCGCAGUACAUGCCGCUGGAGAACCAGGAGACGUCGAGCCACCAACGGCACGUGGACCACGCCGACAUCUGAAGCACCAAGGAGUUCUAAGUACAUACGGAUCAUCAAGCAUAAGAGCUAGUCUCACCGCGUCCGUGGCGCAUCGGAGUGGCCGGGUUUGGAGCUGCAAUUUUGAAUUCAGAAAAGAUUGGCCGGUUAGCUAGCUUAUGAUUCUGAAAGACAAACGUACUCUCUCUUUUCUCUCUUUCUGAAACUUCAAGGACAGGUUUAGGAUCGAUCUCACCGGAGUUUUAGCCCUCAUUUAGUCAUAAUUGUGAUGCUCGAGGUCUCGUUCAGCGUGAUGACAUUGUGUAAAUACCGUUGUUCGUUCGGACUGAAUCGUGUUGGGUGCGUUUAAUAAAGAGACCAGAAGAGCAUUUAGCCUACUUCCCCAAAAACCACAUGUUGCUUUGCAGGCAGUAGGCUUCAGCUAUCACAGUGGUGAGGUUCUCUUUUUUCACA